UGGGUUACCUUUAAGUAUGAAGAUUCUAUCCAAACCUUGAAGUAUCUUUUGACUUUUUAUUUGAAAAUGCACAUGCAUGUGCAUUCAUGAAGGGCAGAGAGAUGAUGAAUGUUCUCAUCCGAGUUAGAACCAAAUACAGUGUAGACAGCUGCUGUGAGCUUUCUUAUUACAAUUUUGGCCUGACAUGAGUUGGAAAAU
rnacentral:lncRNA from 1 species